GUUAAACAAGUGCUUGAAGGCAGUAUGCUUGGUAAAAGUCAUCGCCAUUCUCUAAUCUUGAGUACCCAGGGACACGAUACACUGCGGAAGGCUGCAGGGACCUCUGCCCAGGAAAGCCAGGUGGUUUCCAAAAGGAAAAGCUUUGGGAGAUAGAAGUCCUCGUUUUGACCUCUGCCCUCCUUGUACACCAGGAGCCAGAAAAACUUCAUCUCUUUUACAAGAAACAUUGAGAUUCCUGUAAAAUUAAGAAAUCACACAAUUUGAUGGUCUACAUUAUCUAAAGCAAAUGAGACUUCUAUUUGGAACAAAGACUACCUUGUUGGGAAAUGAGUCUGCAAGUUAAAGUGUUUUCUGGAUCCAGUAUCUGCCGGAGGAGCCCCACCUUCUGCUACUAUUAUGUUCUUCAGAUGAGUAGAAGAGAGUGGGGAGGGAGAGAGCAGGAAGAAGAAAGGAAGAAUAAUGUCUUGAAAUUGUUUUCUAAGGAUAAUGGUCUCCAGCUUCGUCAAUGUUCCUGCAAAGGACAUGAUGCUGACUUUGAAGAUGCAAGCUUCCACAUCUACAGCCUCAAGGAAACAAAUUCAGCCAACCAACUGAGGGAGCUUUCCUUGUCCUGCCUCAAGAUGAGAUCACAGUCUGCCCAACACCAUGAUUUAGGCCUUGUGACACCUGGUAUGGAAGACCCAAGCUCAGAUGGAAAAGAAUGGUGUUACUGAGACCCUUCAAGAUUCCCAGUGUAAUUCAAUAAAGAAAAGGCAACACAAAGGGGUUGUAUAGAAUUCGCCACAUUAUGGACCCAUGUCAUAGAGAGAAUCCACGGUGCAUUUGUUAGCUGCAUUUAAAUGACAACACUUUCAGAUCCAAGAUUUAUUUGGGAUAAAAAUUUACCUGGAUGCAAGGCUAUUCAGAAUGAAGAUUAAUGAUAUGGUUUGGCUGUGUCCCCACCCAAACUUCAUCUUGAAUUCCCACGUGUUGUGAGAGGGACCUGGUGGGAGAUAAUUGAACCAUGGGGGCAGGUCUUUCUCAUGCUGUUCUCAUGAGAGUGAAUAAGUCUCAUGAAACCUGAUGGUUUUAUAAGGGGGAAUUUCCCUGCACAAGCUCUCUCUCUGCCUUUUGCCAUCCAUGUAAGACGUGACUUGGUCCUCCUUGCCUUCUACCAUGAUUAUGAGGCCUCCCCAGCCACGUGGAACUGUGAGUCCAUUAAACCUCUUUCUUUUGUAAA
rnacentral:lncRNA from 1 species